GCCUCUAAAAGCAACAAUACCUGAAUCAGGCAGCAAGAUAAGACAGAGAGAAGACAGAUAGCCAUGGUGUCCGCUGUGGCUGCAGUCCCUGGUGAGGACAGCUCCAAGCUAUCUCCUUGUUUCAGUUUCAUUGCAUUCACAGAAUCACUGGGGAACUAAAGAGGCAACAAAGCAAAGGAUCAACUGGAGGAAUCAAAUUGCCCGAGAAGCAAACUUUGUGAUGGGAUUUCAGUUGAUCUCAACACAAAGACGUUUGGGCGUAGGAGGUGAGGGAGAAGUAAGACUACCGUAGAGCUCCGGGUGUGGGGAGCGAGCGAGGGGUCGCCUUUCCCCUCUGAGGCAUACAGAUGGCGGGGCGGGCCCGCGGAGGACUUGGCGUCGCGCCGCUGACGACUAAACAGCCCAUUCGGCUCAGACGCGCGGUGACGUGCUCAGGAUUUCAACAGCCGCCUGAAACGCUGGAUCCUCGAAGCGGGGCAGGCCCGGUCUCGCCCAGGCUCAGACUUAAACUCUAGAAAAGGGGGAGAGGCCAACACUCAACACUGAAUCCCUGCUGCACUCACAAACCCUCCCCCCCCCGGAGGCAUCGAGACGCCCCACUCGCCUGCUCGGGGGUUCCACCCAGCAUCCAGUUUCAGAUUUAAAAUCUUUAAAACUAAAUAGACUAAACCUAAAGCUUUACUAGAUAGAAACUGUAACAAGUAAGAAUCCCAAUCGAAUGUGAACAAAGGCUGUGUUGUGUGUAUUUGUGUUCUAUAUUUCAGAGCCUUUCUGCAAGGAAAAUCCCAUGUGUUCUGUCCUUCAUUCCACCGGAGUCUGUCUGUUUCACACCAGAUUUCAGUGGUGUGAAGUGUAAGAGACAUGGGGAUACUGCUUCUCAAGCUUGUUCCCCUUGAUUCAAUUAUUCAUCUUUUUGACAAAUGAUACUGUUGUGAUGUAUGGUACUAUAUAUUCUAAUGGAUUUUCCCUGCUAUUUUGUACAAGAUAUAUUUUGCAUGUAUUUCCAUUAAUAAGACAUUGUACUGCGCAACUCACUAAUAUGAAUAAAUAUCUUGACCUUUUGUCCAGUUCUUUAUUUCAACAUCUCAAAUAAUUACGGAGCCAUUAUACCACCCACACGCCGUGGCUGACAUUAGCAAAGAUGUAGAUUUUCAGACUCAGCCCACACAAACAACCUUUACUGUUUGGCAAAUUAAGCUUAUUAAAAAUGUAAAACACGCCCACAGUGUAGCCAACACAAUAAUGCUAUUUAACGUGUUUCUCCCAGCUAGAGAGAGAACUGCAGCAGCACACAUCAAAAUGUGAGAGAGAAAAACAUAUUCACCUCAUAUAUAACAUAUAACCUUCUUAGUUAAAUGUUAGAAGAUGUGAGAUGUGAUAGUGUGAUAGCAAAAGAGGUUUUCCAUUAUAUAUUGUGGCGCAUAGGUAACAGGAAUGAACGUUACAACGUGAAUAGCUGUAUUAUCACAAACAAUUCUCAAAAUAUGUAUAAUAAUGAUUUGCAAUACAUGUCAUCUUAUAUCUAUAUUUGUCUACAUAUAUAUUCAUUGCAAUAUCACACUACUAAAACCGUUAAUGUGAUUAAAAAUGCUGCUUUUUCCUAUAAUUGUAGAUUGAAUAUCUAUACUAAAAAAGUGGUUUGAAACUCAUUUACGGGUUUUUGUUAUAAUUGACAUGCAAUAUUUGACUAAUCAAAGAUUUUCUGAUGCUAUCAUUUACAAAUUGUGUUCCUUAAUUCAAAACACAACGACAUGUAUCUAUCCCGCAUGGUGAUUGGCUGAUUCAGCGAAUCAAAGAAUAAUACUUUGUACUAUUCAAAACAUUCUAGAACUUGUAUUUCAAAGUUUUAAAAAUAAACCUCAUAUACUUUGGGCAGCACGUAUUGAGUCUACACUUCUUCAGCGGACAUGAAAGUUUGGAGUUUAUUUUUCCUCGUCUUUCUGCUUCUGAGUCCAACCCUCGGAGAGGACACAGUUGCAGAUGACAUUGGUGCCCAUCAGCUGAAGCGCUUGGUGGAGUUGCUGACGUCCAAGGAGUGCGAGGACCUUCUGUCCGUCCUCUCCCGCCCCGAGGAAAACAUCUUUCAGCGCGUUGAGCGUCUCUCCCCGGAAACGAAUCAGCUAGAACCUCGAGCCUCGAAACCGCGAGCCAAGAGAGAAGCCUCAACCGCUGCAGGCGAUGAGGCUCGGUGCCGCGCGGGCCUGACGGACUGGAUGCUCAGGCACGGCGAGCAGACCUACUAUGACAGGCUCGCUCGCGCCUUGCAGCACAUCGGCAGAACUGAUGUGGCCGUUGAAGUGGGGAAGAACAUCAACCAGGACAAAGUCCUGAAGAUUAAACGCUACGUUGAAGAUUACCACGAAUAUGUGAAGUCUUUAAACAUCCCGCUGGAACAACCAGCCUCAGAUGACCGACAGCAUGACGCCCACACGGUCAGAAAAAGAAGAGUAAGGCACCUGACAUCCCGUGACCUGGAUCUGGUUGUGGAGCGGUCUCCUGUACCCGUGUACCAGAAGGGAAUUUCGGUUGUAGCUCUGCCCCUUUUGUGGGGCAUCCUGCUGGGCUUCGGAGGGACCUUGAUUUUUGGAACCUCUAUAGUUCUCGCCGUCGUGCACAUCUGGCAUGGAAACCAGCAGAUCCGUCAACCCAGGGACCUGCAGGACGUUUUCUGCAGGACUUGCAGAACAUGCAGGUCCUUGCAGGUGGUAGGCUGCGAUGUAAGCAGCUUAGAGGGUUUAAUGGAAUGAGGAAUACUUGAUGAACUGUUAAGUAAAGGAAAAAAAUACUUAUAUUUCUUUGUGAGGCGUCUCUUUCAUGCUUUCAUGGCUCUUGUUUUCCGACAAUGGAGCAAAAAACCUAAUAUCGAUUCCACCGCACAACUACUAAUUACGACAAACAAGACAAAUAAUUCCAUUUCAUAUGAAGUAAUUAUCCCUGCUGUGUAUUCCUACACUGCUAAGCAUUAUUGCCUUGCCAGUGGGUAGAUGACUAGUGUGACAGAUGCGCUGGAACCCGGCCCUCACACCAAAGGUUGUUCCGGUGUUACUGUGAUAGUGAUGCCACUUUCCAUUUCCCCUGCAAGUGACGGCAACGUGCCCGUCUGGCAUCGAAGAACAACUAAUUAUCCAGCCUGGCUUCUGCUUCCCCCGGAGCCUGCCGAUACCUCCGCAGGCAAUCCAAAAGACUAAUAACAAUGACAAUGCUCGCAGACAACAGAGCAGUCUUGGCGAUGUGAUGGCAGCUGCUGGCAGGUGACAGAAGCCAAGUAUAAAAAUAAAAAAACACAGGGCGAUGCUUUGUUGUUCAACAUGCGAAGAAGGGAGAUGAAAUAAGUUGAUGUGUGAAAUGCCGAAUGCGAGGUAGGUGACCUGGGACGAAAAACUCAAUAAAAGUUAAAGAGAUUAAAAUGAA
ensembl:lncRNA